CACGGAUGUGGUAACCUUGGCAGGGAUGUGCACCACAUUUGCCGUGCUUGCUUUCCUCUUCUUCAUCGUUCUGAAGCACAACUCAUCGCAUGCCCAUUAAAAUGAUUGAUCCACACGAUGUUGGCUUUGUGUUUCGCUGAUGCAAUUCUGCAAACAUAUUCUAUUUAAUCACAUUGGGGAGAGUACUAUAUAGUGGUGUUGAAAUUUGAAAUGUGCUACUUUCCUUGUCACAAUAUGUAUCAUGAGAUGUUACUGAGUUAUGCAAAUGAUACGAAUUUACAUUACAUUAAUGCAAAACGUUACUCUCCCAUUGUUUCUAGUGCACAAGUCAGAUUGCAUUACUACAUAGGAGUGUCAGGCUACUCAUAUGCAGAAGCGUAAUCAAGAUGCUGAAACCGAAACCAUGUAUAUAUCAUGUAUGCAGAGCUCUAAACAAGCAAGAAAAAUGGAAGGGCAGAGAUGGACGUACAAGCUGCUCUUGCAGGCUGUGGAACUCCCUGACCUUUGGUUGUCUUCCUAUGAGGCAUUUCGUCGAAUAUAUGGCGAGCGUGCUCGCCGCACUGCGACACCACGAGCUUACGAUCACAUUAGCCCAACACGCCAGAAGCAAUGAAGGUAGACUGGUAGGGUACGCCGUGGCGCGCCUUCCCG
rnacentral:lncRNA from 1 species